CCAGCACCGGUACUGUCAACAAGUUGGCUGAGGGACUGAAAAACUCAGCGCUGAAUUUCUGAUGUUCAGUUGAUGGUCAGACUGGGGCAGAAAAGAGCUUCCCAACUCAACUCUCCCAUUCCUGAAAAACAUCUUGUGUGGUACCUGGAACGCUGGUCCAGUCCAAAUCUUAGCUGUCCUCUUGAAAAGUUUUCAGGAGAAACCUCGUUACUGUGUUUCCUGAGCAAAUCAUGUUGUCAAAGAUCCCAGAGAUAUCUACUUGAUUACAGGGACAUCCAUGUGUCAAAACAUCUGACCAACAACUAUCUGAACAUUCCAUACCUUAUCCUUCUUUUUACCUUCAAGAACUAAGACUUAUUGGCAAAAAAUGAUUUAUUUUCCCAAAGUGAAUUUCUGCAGAGAGAAAUCCAUUUUGUUCCUUUACCUGUUAACCAGGUUCCCAGGCUGAUGUAACAAGGUGUAGAGCUGGAUGAACACAGCAGGCCAAGCAACAUCAGAGGAGCAGGAAGGUUGACGUUUCGGGCCUAGACCCUUCUUCAGACACCUCCCAGCCUCCCAGGCUGAUGUGCUGUUUUUUGCGUUUACAAUAAAAGGCGGAAUAUGAUUUACCCAUCGCUGCUCUGACUCUCCUCUAACCCAACUCUCACCUUCACCCUUCCAACAUCCUGCUCCCAAGCUAAC